rnacentral:rRNA from 1 species
AGAGUUUGAUCCUGGCUCAGGACGAACGCUUGCGGCGUGCCUAAGAAAUGCAAGUCGAACGGUGUCAGCAAUGGCACAGUGGCGAACGGUCGCGUAACACGUAGGCAACCUGCCCCGGAGUGGGGGACAACAGCCCGAAAGGGCUGCUAAUACCGCAUGUGGUCCAGUAUAGGCAUCUAUUCUGGUCCAAAGGAUUUAUUCGCUCCGGGAUGGGCUUGCGGCCUAUCAGCUUGUUGGUGGGGUAACGGCUCACCAAGGCGACGACGGGUAGCUGGUCUGAGAGGAUGGUCAGCCGGAUUGGGACUGAGAUACGGCCCAGACUCCUACGGGGGGCAGCAAUUAGGAAUCUUGCACAAUGGGCGAAAGCCUGAUGCAGCGACGCCGCGUGCGGGAUGAAGGCAUUCGUGUCGUAAACCGCUUUUGUCGGGGAAGAAGAAUGUGACGGUACCCGGCGAAUAAGCCCCGGCUAACUACGUGCCAGCCGCCGCGGUAAUAC